UUGGAGGGCAAGUCUGGUGCCAGCAGCCGCGGUAAUUCCAGCUCCAAUAGCGUAUAUUAAAGUUGUUGCAGUUAAAAAGCUCGUAGUUGAUCUUCGGGGUCUACCCAUUGGUCAGGCUUAAUUGUCUGCACUGGUGAGAUGGAUCUCUACCUUCUGAGGGACUUUCAUGCCAUUUAUUUGGUGUGGUUGGAAAUCAGGACUGUUACUUUGAAAAAAUUAGUGUGUUUAAAGCAGACUAUCGUCUGAAUACAUUAGCAUGGAAUAAUGAAAUAGGACGGACUGAUUCUAUUUCGUUGGUUUCUAGGAUCACCGUAAUGAUUAAUAGGGAUAGUUGGGGGCAUUAGUAUUCAAUUGUCAGAGGUGAAAUUCUUGGAUUUAUUGAAGACUAACUACUGCGAAAGCAUUUGCCAAGGAUGUUUUCAUUAAUCAAGAACGAAAGUUAGGGGAUCGAAGACGAUCAGAUACCGUCGUAGUCUUAACCAUAAACUAUGCCGACUAGGGAUCGGACGAAGUUAAUUUUAUAAUGACGCGUUCGGCGCCUUACGGGAAA
rnacentral:rRNA from 1 species